UACGUAGGGUGCAAGCGUUGUCCGGAAUUAUUGGGCGUAAAGAGCUCGUAGGCGGUUUGUCGCGUCUGCUGUGAAAACUUGGGGCUUAACUCCGGGCCUGCAGUGGGUACGGGCAGACUAGAGUGCGGUAGGGGAGACUGGAAUUCCUGGUGUAGCGGUGAAAUGCGCAGAUAUCAGGAGGAACACCGGUGGCGAAGGCGGGUCUCUGGGCCGUAACUGACGCUGAGGAGCGAAAGCGUGGGGAGCGAACAGG
rnacentral:rRNA from 1 species